rnacentral:lncRNA from 1 species
AAGUCCUGUAAGCACAGCAAAAGUAGUGGCAUGAACAGUUUCUGUACUCCCUUUAAGUGUAGCUUGGAAGAGUCAGCAGGUAAAACAAUGGUAUUGGGUACCAAAGCACAAGUUGCUUCCAGAGAAGUGCUGGAUUCUUCUAUAUUUCUGCCUAGGAAACAAGGAAAUGUAGGUAAAGCUUCAGAAACUGUUGGUAAUGUCGGUGAGAGAGGUGGUGAAAGGGUUCUGGGAAUGAUUGCAGACCUGAUGAUACAGAGGAUUGAUGUUCCUAACUCCAGUCUGCUGAAAACGAAAAAUGAAGAACUUGCAAGUCGAGGUAAACUAGAGCUUCCCUGUGAGGUGGAUGAUGGAUUGGAGGUGGCUUCAGGAGUUGCAAGAGAAAUGGAGCCAGAGGUUAGUAUAUAUAGGGAGGCCUCAGGAAGCUCGUUUUCGACAGAAGAGAAAACUGGUGAUAUAGUUAAUCUGAAUUCCAUUGACUCUUCAUAUCCAGAUAAAAAUGAUAGCCUGAUAGAAACUGAACCUAGAAGCAAGUCAUAUAAUGUUCAAGUUAAGUCUGAAAACUUAUAUUCCACCAAGGUGAUGGGGGAAGAUCCGAAAUUGUCAAUGAAAAAUCAGCAGCUGUGCAUAGAGGUGAAAGAGCAAUCACAAGAGAGGGGUCUUGGAACAUGUCAAGCUAAUGAUGGGCUUUGUGGUCGGGGAUCAUCUCCCUUGACUACACCUAAAGAUGUGGUUGGUGGUGGAUUUGAUCUGAAUGAAGGUAUCCUGGCAGAUGAAGUGGAGUACCCUAAACAGCUGGUGAAUGAAACUUCAUCGUCCUGUCAUGUGGUGAAUGUGUCAGCGCCAAUACCUGUGGUAGCUAAAUCCAGGGUUCCCUUGUGCUUACCCAUGCCUCCAUUGCAGUUUGAAGGACAGCUAUGUUGGAAGGGUUCUGCAGCAACUAGUGCUUUUCGGCCAGCUUCUGUUUCUCAUAGUCCUAAUAAAAGGAAGGCACUUUCCAACAGUGAUGAUAACCAUAGUUCAAGACACUCACAGGGUUUGAAGGGGUUUGACCUCAAUGUUGCAGCUGAAGAGUCUUCCCUGGAAGUUAGUCCAAAACGAGCUGAAAGGCCUAAU